AGUGAACGCUGGCGGUAGGCCUAACACAUGCAAGUCGAACGGCAGCACAGUAAGAGCUUGCUCUUACGGGUGGCGAGUGGCGGACGGGUGAGGAAUACAUCGGAAUCUACUUUUUCGUGGGGGAUAACGUAGGGAAACUUACGCUAAUACCGCAUACGACCUACGGGUGAAAGCAGGGGAUCUUCGGACCUUGCGCGAUUGAAUGAGCCGAUGUCGGAUUAGCUAGUUGGCGGGGUAAAGGCCCACCAAGGCGACGAUCCGUAGCUGGUCUGAGAGGAUGAUCGGCCACACGGGAACUGAGACACGGUCCAGACGCCUACGGGAGGCAGCAGGGGGGAAUUUUGGAAAAGGGGCGAAAGCCUGAUCCAGCCAUACCGGGUGGGUGAAGAAGGCCUUCGGGUUGUAAAGCCCUUUUGUGGGGAAAGAAAAGCAGCAGGUUAAUACCCCGCUAUUCUGACGGGACCAAAAGAAUAAGCACCGGAUAACUUCGG
rnacentral:rRNA from 1 species